rnacentral:rRNA from 1 species
ACGCGAGCUGGGUUCAGAACGUCGUGGGACAGUUCGGUCCCUAUCCGUCGCAGGCGUAGGAAAUUUGAGAAGACCUGUCCUUAGUACGGGAGGACCGGGAUGGACGUACCUCUGGUGUACCAGUUGUCCUGCCAAGGGCAUGGCUGGGUAGCUAUGUACGGAAUGGAUAAGCGCUGAAAGCAUCUAAGCGCGAAGCCAACUUCAAGAUAAGAUUUCCCACCGCAAGGGUAAGACCCCAGAAAGACUAUCUGGUUGAUAGGUCGAAGGUGUAAGUGCAGCAA